AUUCUCACGUGUUCGACUUCUCAGGUGCGUUCAGGUGCAUCGCCAGGUGGUUUCGACUGCCGUUGGCUGCUGCUGCUGCGUAAAAAAAAAAAAAAAGACGGAAGGAGACUCUCCCCAAUAAGCUUGGCUACAGAAAAACUCACGCGGGACAAUAAUUGCAGACGUAACUGAAGUACGGUUUGCCACGGGGUCCUCUGGUACCGGGGCAUUUUGCCCAUCCGCAACCGACUCGGUGGGUCGGCGCCCAAACCAUUUGCGUGUAAUGGCCUACCUGACUCAGAUCAUUUUGUGCGUCGGCUCCGUAUUUGAAAAUCUCCUUCUCCAAAUACCACGUCUUGAUCGCGAAAAACCUGGGCACAGAAAUCAAUUCCGUUCACACAAAAAUC
rnacentral:misc_RNA from 1 species